rnacentral:rRNA from 1 species
GAUGAACGCUAGCUACAGGCUUAACACAUGCAAGUCGAGGGGUAACGAGAGGAAAGCUUGCUUUCCUUGUCGACGACCGGCGCACGGGUGAGUAACGCGUAUCCAACCUGCCCCCAACUAGGGAAUAACCUUGCGAAAGUAAGACUAAUACCCUAUAAUUUCCUCAGAAGUCAUCUGACGAGGAAUAAAGAUUUAUCGGUUGUGGAUGGGGAUGCGUCUGAUUAGCUUGUUGGCGGGGUAACGGCCCACCAAGGCAACGAUCAGUAGGGGUUCUGAGAGGAAGGUCCCCCACAUUGGAACUGAGACACGGUCCAAACUCCUACGGGAGGCAGCAGUGAGGAAUUUUGGUCAAUGGGCGGAAGCCUGAACCAGCCAAGUAGCGUGCAGGAUGACGGCCCUAUGGGUUGUAAACUGCUUUUAUACAGGAAUAAAGUUAGCCACGUGUGGUUAUUUGUAGGUACUGUAUGAAUAAGGACCGGCUAAUUCCGUGCCAGCAGCCGCCGCAG